UACGUAGGGUGCAAGCGUUAAUCGGAAUUACUGGGCGUAAAGCGUGCGCAGGCGGUUAUGCAAGACAGAGGUGAAAUCCCCGGGCUCAACCUGGGAACUGCCUUUGUGACUGCAUAGCUAGAGUACGGUAGAGGGGGAUGGAAUUCCGCGUGUAGCAGUGAAACGCGUAGAUAUGCGGAGGAACACCGAUGGCGAAGGCAAUCCCCUGGACCUGUACUGACGCUCAUGCACGAAAGCGUGGGGAGCAAACAGG
rnacentral:rRNA from 1 species